rnacentral:rRNA from 1 species
GGGCCCGCACAAGCGGUGGAGUAUGUGGUUUAAUUCGAUGCAACGCGAAGAACCUUACCAGGGUUUGACAUCCUGCGAAUCUCUUGGAAACGAGAGAGUGCCUUCGGGAACGCAGUGACAGGUGGUGCAUGGCUGUCGUCAGCUCGUGUCGUGAGAUGUUGGGUUAAGUCCCGCAACGAGCGCAACCCACGUCUUUAGUUGCCAGCACGUCAUGGUGGGAACUCUAGGGAGACUGCCGGUGACAAACCGGAGGAAGGUGGGGACGACGUCAGGUCAUCAUGGCCCUUACGACCUGGCUACACACGUGCUACAAUGGCUGGUACAGAGGGUUGCGAAGUCGCGAGGCGAAG